rnacentral:lncRNA from 1 species
AACAUAGUGCGAUCAUUUCGUUGACUAAUGUUGUGCUCCAUUUCUCUCAAUGUAAUGAUAAAUUCAGCCAAUAUUUUCUCAAUUUCUUUCAUGUUACAAUUCAAGACAAAUUGAAUAAAAUUGUUCAACAAAGAUUGCAAGACAAGAUCACUCCUAAUCAUGUUUAGCCCAUGAGGGGCCACAAGACUUCCCUCUGCCAAUCUACAUUGAUAAAGUUGUUUGGAGACCUCAAACCUCUCAUGCCUAGCUUGACCUUGAUAGAGCUUCUUUAAGUACACAAUCAUGUUGUACGCUUUUAUGUUCUCAUGUUGCUUUCGAUGCUCAGAGAUCAUAGAAGCCACCAUGAGACAACUACCACCUACAGAACCAUCCUGGUGCUUCUUAUAAGUAUUUUUGUUAGUUAUUAAGGAAUGCUCGACUAGGGUUUCAAUUAGUGGCUCGUCCAGUACAUAUCGCUUUUUCAGUUGCUUGAGGAAAAUCCUCACGUUUCUAUACUAUUCAAGGAAGUUUGUUUGUGAUAGUUUUUCCUUCUCAAGGAUAGAUCGUAAAGAUAAUUUACUUGUUGCAUUUAUUGUCAUGGUUA